rnacentral:rRNA from 1 species
UUAAAAGUGAAACCGCAAAAGGCUCAUUAUAUCAGUUAUGGUUUAUUAGAUCAUUAACAGUUACUUGGAUAACUGUGGUAAUUCUAGAGCUAAUACAUGCUAUAUAAACAUGGACCUUAUGGAACAUGUGCUCUUAUUAGUCUAAAACCAAGCGAUUUUUUAAUAGAAAUCGAUGUAAAUGGUUGAACUCUAGAUAAUUUGCCAAUCGUAUGGUCUUGUACCGACGAUAGAUCUUUUAAAUGUCUGCCCUAUCAACUAUUGAUGGUAGUAUCUAGGACUACCAUGGUUGCAACGGGUAACGGGGAAUCAGGGUUCGAUUCCGGAGAGGGAGCCCGAGAAACAGCUACCACAUCUAAGGAAGGCA